rnacentral:rRNA from 1 species
UACGGAGGAUCCAAGCGUUAUCCGGAUUUAUUGGGUUUAAAGGGUGCGUAGGCGGCUUAUUAAGUCAGGGGUGAAAGACGGUGGCUCAACCAUCGCAGUGCCUUUGAUACUGAUGAGCUUGAAUACACUUGAGGUAGGCGGAAUGUGACAAGUAGCGGUGAAAUGCAUAGAUAUGUCACAGAACACCAAUUGCGAAGGCAGCUUACUAAGGUGCAAUUGACGCUGAGGCACGAAAGCGUGGGGAGCAAACAGG